rnacentral:rRNA from 1 species
AUUGAACGCUGGCGGCAGGCCUAACACAUGCAAGUCGAGCGAGAAAGGUCUUCGGACUGAGUACAGCGGCGGACGGGUGAGUAAUGCGCAGGAAUCUACCUGGUAGUGGGGGAUAACUCGGGGAAACUCGAACUAAUACCGCAUACGCCUACGGGGAAAGCGGGGACCGUUCGGGCCGUCGCGCUAUCAGAUGAGCCUGCGUAGGAUUAGCUUGUUGGUUGAGGUAAAGGACGUCACCAAGGCGACGAUCCUUAGCUGGUCUGAGAGGAUGAUCAGCCACACUGGAACUGAGACACGGUCCAGACUCCUACGGGAGGCAGCAGUGGGGAAGUAUUGCGCAAUGGGCGAAAGCCUGACGCAGCCAUGCCGCGUGUGUGAAGAAGGCCCUUGGGUUGUAAAGCGCUUUCACCUGUGAUGAUGAUGACAGUAGCAGGAGAAGAAGCCCCGGCUAACUCCGUGCCAGCAGCCGCGGUUAAAGUCAG